rnacentral:rRNA from 1 species
AUUAUACGCUGGCGGCAGGCUUAACACAUGCAAGUCGAGCGGGGUGAUGGUGCUUGCACUAUCACUUAGCGGCGGACGGGUGAGUAAUGCUUAGGAAUCUGCCUAUUAGUGGGGGACAACAUCGCGAAAGGGAUGCUAAUACCGCAUACGUCCUACGGGAGAAAGCAGGGGAUCACUUGUUACCUUGUGCUAAUAGAUGAGCCUAAGUCGGAUUAGCUAGUUGGUGGGGUAAAGGCCUACCAAGGCGACGAUCUGUAGCGGGUCUGAGAGGAUGAUCCGCCACACUGGGACUGAGACACGGCCCAGACUCCUACGGGAGGCAGCAGUGGGGAAUAUUGGACAAUGGGGGGAACCCUGAUCCAGCCAUGCCGCGUGUGUGAAGAAGGCCUUAUGGUUGUAAAGCACUUUAAGCGAGGAGGAGGCUCUUUUGGUUAAUACCCAAGAUGAGUGGACGUUACUCGCAGAAUGAGCACCGGCUAACUCUGUGCCAGCCGCCGCGGUAAAAC